GCCCGGAUGGCGGAAUUGGUAGACGCAAGGGACUUAAAAUCCCUCGCCAGCAAUGGUGUGCCGGUUCAAUUCCGGCUCCGGGCA
rnacentral:tRNA from 1 species